rnacentral:rRNA from 1 species
ACUUUAAGCAGUGAAGAAGACUCCGUGGUUAAUACCCACGGACGAUGACAUUAGCUGCAGAAUAAGCACCGGCUAACUCUGUGCCAGCAGCCGCGGUAAUACAGAGGGUGCAAGCGUUAUCCGGAAUGAUUGGGCGUAAAGCGUCCGCAGGUGGCAGUUCAAGUCUGCUGUCAAAGACCGGGGCUUAACUUCGGAAAGGCAGUGGAAACUGAACAGCUAGAGUAUGGUAGGGGCAGAGGGAAUUCCUGGUGUAGCGGUGAAAUGCGUAGAGAUCAGGAAGAACAUCGGUGG